UAUUGGACAAUGGGGGGAACACUGAUCCAGCGACGGCGCGUGAGUGAAUAAGUAUUUCGGAAUGUAAAGCUCUAUCAGCAGGGAAGAAAGAAAUGACGGUACCUGACUAAGAAGCACCGGCUAACUACGUGCCAGCAGCCGCGGUAAUACGUAGGGGGCAAGCGUUAUCCGGAUUUACUGGGUGUAAAGGGAGCGUAGACGGCGAUGCAAGUCUGAAGUGAAAGGCGGGGGCCCAACCCCCGGACUGCUUUGGAAACUGUAUGGCUGGAGUGCAGGAGAGGUAAGUGGAAUUCCUAGUGUAGCGGUGAAAUGCGUAGAUAUUAGGAGGAACACCAGUGGCGAAGGCGGCUUACUGGACUGUAACUGACGUUAAGGAUCGAAAGCGUGGGGAGCAAACAG
rnacentral:rRNA from 1 species